CAAUAGCGUAUAUUAAAGUUGUUGCAGUUAAAAAGCUCGUAGUUGGAUUUGUGGUGUACUUCGGCGGCCCGUCACUAUGUGAUGGAGCUUGCUGAAGUCGCCAUCCUUGGGUGGAUCCUGUGUGGCAUUAAGUUGUCGUGCAGGGGAUGCCCAUCGUUUACUGUGAAAAAAUUAGAGUGUUCAAAGCAGGCUUAUGCCGUUGAAUAUAUUAGCAUGGAAUAAUAAGAUAGGACCUUGGUACUAUUUUGUUGGUUUGCGCACCAAGGUAAUGAUUAAUAGGGACAGUUGGGGGUAUUCGUAUUUCAUUGUCAGAGGUGAAAUUCUUGGAUUUUUGAAAGACGAACUACUGCGAAAGCAUUUACCAAGGAUGUUUUCAUUG
rnacentral:rRNA from 1 species